GCAGUCUCUGGUCAUGAGAGGCCAGGCCUGGAAUAGCAGGGGGGUUUAGGUCAGGAGCAAAAUGAAGCAGAAAGGCAGUCUGGAUGGCAGGGCUCAACUCUGCAGUCCACAGGGAUCCUGCAGGUCAAAAUUACUGAAUCAUCUCAACAUAUCUUUACUAAAUGUUUAAUGAACUUUCCAGUCUCAGUUGCCUUCUCUUUGAAAUAUGCUGGAUUCUUCUAUGUUCCAGGCUGGGUUAGUGUUAAUUUAUAGUACAGGAUGGUAGUAGCAGGCUGAACAUCAGAGUUCCGGAUUGGGAGUUGGGAAAUGUUUUUGGCAUGACUGUCAAUAAACAACUAUGUG